rnacentral:rRNA from 1 species
UACGGAGGGAGCUAGCGUUGUUCGGAAUUACUGGGAGUAAAGCGCACGUAGGCGGCUUUGUAAGUCAGAGGUGAAAGCCUGGAGCUCAACUCCAGAACUGCCUUUGAGACUGCAUCGCUAGAAUCAUGGAGAGGGUAGUGGAAUUCCGAGUGUAGAGGUGAAAUUCGUAGAUAUUCGGAAGAACACCAGUGGCGAAGGCGACUCACUGGACACAUAUUGACGCUGAGGUGCGAAAGCGUGGGGAGCAAACAGG